CUGAGGUUCCGGAACUCUGGAGAGAGCACACCACCUUGAGAACCACAGGUCCACAUAGAUCAGCGGUUUUCAGGCCUUGCAGCAAUCCGGAAUCACCGUGGAGGACGACAAGAAGGAAGAUGCCCAUCGCAGACCAACUGAAUCAGAAUCUCCAGGGGUGAUUCUGAUGCACACCACAGAGGGUUCAUGAAGGCCAAGGAGACAUUGGGAUCUCCCAGGAAAGAGAGAAAGAACCGGAUGAGGUGAACAUUUCUGAAACACGUCCAGGAGACAGACUGUUCUCUGAGAGGCUACGAGCUGUCUCUCCUAGCAAAGAAGGGAAAAACGAUGAGUGCCCGGAAGUCAGAUCACUGGAUUAAAAGGAUUGUCUGAGGGAUGUGACAU
rnacentral:lncRNA from 1 species